rnacentral:tRNA from 1 species
GAGGUUGUGGCUCAGCGGUAGAGCACUCACCUCACGUGUGCGAGACCCUGAGUUCAAUCCUCAGCAAUAAAA